AGGGGCACCACUCGCCAAUAAAAGGCAAUCCAAUUCGAGCUUCUGUGCCCUAGAAUUCUCAAAAUCAUCGGGUUCUUGAUUCUCCAUUAGCAGUCUCAAGCUUCGCAGCUAAACAGAGAACCCAACCCGAAAGUAAGAAACAGCUCCAAAACUUUUGCCUAAGAAUUAAUCAAUCAUUCAAUUUUCAAGAUGACCGAUUACGAAGGAGGAAGAUAUGAUGGCAAUGGUGCCGACUUCGACAACGAUAACUACGGUUCUGGCGGUGGUGGCUUCUCUCCUCAGCCUCGCGCUAGCAGUCACAGCCAUGGCGGAGCCGACGAUCACAGCGAUUCCAAAUCUCAGCAUGGUUCUCGAGACUAUGAAAGAGAGUCUUCAAAAAGUAGGGAAAAGGAGAGAGAGAAAGGACGCGAUAAGGAGAGGGAUAGAGACAGGGACAGGGAUAGGGAUAGGGAUCGCGAGAGGGACAAAGAUAGGGAGAGAAGCAAGGACAGGGACAGGGAUAGGGAAAGAGACCGAGACAAGGAUCGUGACCGUCACCAUAGAGAUCGUGAUCGCUACAGAGAUCGUAGUGAGAGGAGGGAACGGGGUAGAGAUAGAGAUGAUGAUGAUUAUCACCGAAGCCGAGACUAUGACCGGGACAGGCGGAGAGAUUAUGAUAGGAACAAGGAAGAUAGGCACAGGCGUCGGUCAAAAUCUCCUUCAAGAGGUAGAUCCGAACACAGGUCCAAAUCGCGAUCUCGUUCUCGUUCCCGUUCUAAGAGCAAAAGGAUCAGUGGUUUUGAUAUGGCUCCUCCACCAUCUGCAAUGUUGGCUGGUGCAGCUGCAGCUGCUGCUGCUGCAGGUCAGAUGCCUGGCACAAAUCCUGCCAUUUCUGGAAUAUUCCCUAACAUGUUUCCUUUAGGGGCUGGUCAGCAGUUUGGUGCUCUUCCGGUUAUGCCAGUUCAGGCAAUGACACAGCAGGCCACUAGGCAUGCUCGACGGGUAUAUGUUGGAGGACUUCCCCCUACAGCUAAUGAACAGUCUGUAGCAACUUUUUUCAGCCAAGUUAUGGCUGCAAUUGGAGGAAACACUGCUGGCCCAGGGGAUGCUGUUGUGAAUGUCUAUAUAAACCAUGAAAAGAAAUUUGCGUUUGUGGAGAUGAGGUCUGUUGAGGAGGCUAGUAAUGCAAUGGCUUUGGAUGGAAUUAUUUUUGAGGGAGCACCUGUCAAGGUGAGGAGACCUAGCGACUAUAACCCAUCUCUUGCUGCAACACUUGGUCCAAGCCAGCCCAAUCCCAAUCUUAACCUUGCAGCAGUUGGCUUAACUCCAGGAUCUGCUGGUGGGCUUGAGGGUCCUGACCGCAUCUUUGUGGGUGGGCUUCCCUAUUACUUCACAGAAGCACAAAUCAGAGAGUUGUUGGAAUCUUUUGGGCCUCUUCGAGGUUUUGAUCUGGUCAAAGACAGAGAAACUGGCAACUCAAAGGGCUAUGCAUUUUGUGUUUAUCAGGAUCUUUCAGUUACAGACAUAGCUUGUGCUGCUCUGAAUGGAAUUAAAAUGGGUGACAAAACUCUCACUGUUAGGCGUGCCAACCAGGGUACUAACCAGCCCAAGCCUGAGCAAGAGAAUGUUCUAUUGCAUGCGCAGCAGCAGAUUGCAUUGCAGAGGCUUAUGUUACAACCUGUUCCUACUAAAGUUGUAUGCCUAACUCAAGUAGUUACUGCGGAUGAACUCAAAGAUGAUGAGGAGUAUGAAGACAUCUUGGAAGACAUGAGGAUGGAAGGAGGGAAAUUUGCCUUUUGUAGUCCCACAUUCUGCUAUAAAGAAUCAGGCCUAACAUACACAGACAGAAGACUUCAUUAUCCCCUAUUUAUAUUUACUUGAUCUCCUCUUUAAAAAUUUAUUAAUUUGGAAAAUUGCGAUUUGCAUAUUUUCACGCCUUAAAUGCAGGUACGUUGGUGAAUGUUGUUAUUCCACGCCCAAAGCCAGAUUGUGAAGCUUCAUCAGGAGUUGGGAAGGUGUUCUUGGACUAUGCUGAUGUUGAAGGAGCUACAAAAGCCCGAGCAGGAAUGAAUGGGCGGAAGUUUGGUGGGAAUCAAGUUGUGGCUGUGUUUUAUCCUGAGAACAAGUUCUACCAGGCAGAAUACGAUGCCUAGAUAGUGUCUUCUGGCAAUAUAUAAAAUUUGAUGACGUACUAUUGAUGUUAUUGAUGAUAAAGCUUGAACAGUUCCCUGA